AAAAAUCUUAGGUAAUUUUUUAAAGAUUUUACUUAUUUAUUCAUGAGAGACACAGAGAGAGGCAGAGACAGGCAGAGUGAGAAGCAGGCUCCUUGUGGGGAACCUGAUGGGGGACUCGAUCCCAGGGCUCCAGGACCCCAGGACCCCAGGAUCAUGCCCUGAGACCAUGGUGGAUGCUCAGCUGCUGAGCCACCUAGGCAUCCCUUUUAGGUAUGUUUUAAAAAACAGUGAAUCCAGUCAAUAUUUAUGAUUUGUGUACCAGGUGAAUAUUUCCCUACAGGGCUAACAUUAAAAUAAUAAUACUUUCUGCUGUUCAAAAAAUUCUUGAGGUAAUUAAGUAAAUGAGAUUUAAAUACAUGUAGCUAAAUUAAAUUUAAAUAAUUGUUGAAGAGGGUAUGGAGAAGAUACCAAAGAUAGUCAAUAUGUAAAUCAAACAAUUUUUUAUAUAAUAAUUGCUAUAGGAAUUCAGAGAAGGGACAGAUCACUUCAGAUAUACUUGGUCCAGAAUGUUGACACUUUUCAAUAGGAAAUCCAUCUCAUUCUAAAUGUGCUUUUCUGGGCUAGAAUGGGUAGAUAAGCAGAUAGUUAUAGGCUGUUUUAAAAUUUCUUGAAUAAAAAUAUAGUUAGCUUGGAAACUUCAUUUUUAAAUAUCAGUGUUAACUAGAAAUGUAAAUGGGCAAUCAGACAUUUAAAGCACUAAGAUUUCGGUUGCCAUUAAUUUAAAAAAAAGAUGUGAGAUCUAAACUGUGUAGAAAGCAAAGAAGAUUUAGAUCAAUAGAGAGGAAGAUCUCUGCCUAUCAUGCAUUUGGGGUACGUGGAACAACAACAAAAAAUCUGAGAAUACUUACAUCAAGGGAGCAAAUAUGUUGGUUGAAGCAGUGACAUCAUAGAAGAAAAUAGUUGACAAUGAGCUCCGGGGAACUUGGAAUGUUUGUUGGGGUCAGUGAAGAAAGACCUUGAAUACCCAGAAUAAUUUAAGGUAUCAGAAUGAGGGGUCAUGGAUCAGAUUUGGAAGAAAUUGAUGAUAUGGAAGAAAAACUAAAAGAGAGAGAAAGUUGUCUUGCUCACACUGUGUGGCAUUCGGGAAGAAAUUUGGCCUUGAGAGCCAGGAAAACCUCUGCUCUAGUUUCUACCUCUAUAUAAUGGGGAAGGAGGCACCAUUGUUUCUCUUCUACAGUGUUACUCAGAAGGUCACUGAACAUCAUAGAAGGCAAGUGGGUUGUAGACAGCAAAGUACCAUGAAAAUCAUAGUUAAUUUCUGAUUUGCAUCUUAGGUCUGCGGUACCUUGAGGGCUAGUGACAAAGGACAACCAUUCAUGUAGAAGAGAUGUCUCUAAAUUGAGACGUCUCUGUUUUAUUUGUGAAACAUUCUCACUUUCUGCCAUAAACAUACCCUUCUGUUUGAUGCUCACUGAAAAUGCACAUAAUUUGAUCUUUUUCAUAGAUUGACAGUCUUUUCUUUUUUGAUGAGCUGAAAAAUAUUGGAAGUAGC
rnacentral:lncRNA from 1 species